AUUGAACGCUGGCGGCAUGCCUAACACAUGCAAGUCGAACGGUAACAGGCCCUUCGGGGCGCUGACGAGUGGCGGACGGGUGAGUAAUGCUUAGGAAUCUGCCUAGUAGUGGGGGAUAACCCGGGGAAACUCGGGCUAAUACCGCAUACGUCCUACGGGAGAAAGCGGGGGACCUUCGGGCCUCGCGCUAUUAGAUGAGCCUAAGUCCGAUUAGCUAGUUGGUAGGGUAACGGCCUACCAAGGCGACGANCGGUAGCUGGUCUGAGAGGACGACCAGCCACACUGGGACUGAGACACGGCCCA
rnacentral:rRNA from 1 species